rnacentral:rRNA from 1 species
AUUGAACGCUGGCGGCAGGCCUAACACAUGCAAGUCGAACGAGUGGCGGACGGGUGAGUAAUGUCUGGGAAACUGCCCGAUGGAGGGGGAUAACUACUGGAAACGGUAGCUAAUACCGCAUACCAUCGGAUGUGCCCAGAUGGGAUUAGCUUGUAGGUGAGGGAACGGCGCACCUAGGCGACGAUCCCUAGCUGGUCGGAGAGGAUGACCAGCGAAACUGGAACGGAGAUACGGGCCAGACUCCUACGGCAGGAAGCAGUGGGGAAUAUUGCACAAGGGGCGCAAUCCGGAUGCAGCCAUGCCGUGUGGAUGAAGAAGGCCUUCGGGUUGUAAAUUACUUUCAGCGGGGAUGCGUUACCCGCAGAAGAAGCACCGGCUAACUCCGUGCCAGCAGCCGCGGUAAUAC